rnacentral:rRNA from 1 species
UACGUAGGUGACAAGCGUUGUCCGGAUUUACUGGGCGUAAAGAGCGCGCAGGCGGUCGUUCAAGUCGAGUGUGAAAGCCCCCGGCUCAACUGGGGAGGGUCAUUCGAUACUGAUCGACUCGAAGGCAGGAGAGGGAAGUGGAAUUCCCGGUGUAGUGGUGAAAUGCGUAGAUAUCGGGAGGAACACCAGUGGCGAAGGCGACACGCUGGGCCGUACCUGACGCUAAAGCGCGACAGCAUGGGGAGCAAACGGG